rnacentral:misc_RNA from 1 species
GAUGAAGAACGUAGCGAAAUGCGAUACCUGGUGUGAAUUGCAGAAUCCCGCGAACCAUCGAGUCUUUGAACGCAAGUUGCGCCCGAGGCCACCCGGCCGAGGGCACGCCUGCCUGGGCGUCACGCCAAAACACGCUCCCACCCCCCCUCACCGGGGGAGCGGGACGCGGCGUCUGGCCCCCCGUGCCGCGAGGCGCGGUGGGCCGAAGAUCGGGCUGCCGGCGUACCGUGCCGGGCACAGCGCGUGGUGGAUCUCUACUCGGCACAGUGCACCCGGCGCGUAGCCGGCGCAGCGGCCCCUAAGGACCCAACGAACGGAGCGCGAGCCGCUCCGACCGCGACCCCAGGUCAGGCGGGACUACCCGCUGAGUUUAAGCAUAUCAAUAAGCGGAGGA